UACGUAGGUCCCGAGCGUUGUCCGGAUUUAUUGGGCGUAAAGCGAGCGCAGGUGGUUUAAUAAGUCUGAUGUAAAAGGCAGUGGCUCAACCAUUGUGUGCAUUGGAAACUGUUAGACUUGAGUGCAGUAGAGGAGAGUGGAAUUCCAUGUGUAGCGGUGAAAUGCGUAGAGAUGUGGAGGAACACCAGUGGCGAAAGCGGCUCUCUGGACUGUAACUGACACUGAGGCUCGAAAGCGUGGGUAGCAAACAGG
rnacentral:rRNA from 1 species